rnacentral:misc_RNA from 1 species
CAUGAAUCCUGUGCAUAGUUAUUCUCUCUAUACUUUUCUUCCCAUUCUCUUUGGGCUUUUUCCUCAGCUUCAUAUUUCCCUAUAAGCAGCGCCUUAUGCUGCAAAGCUCUUUCCAUGCCUUCAUCACUCUCAUCGGCUUUCCUUUGAUUUUCCGAUGUCUCUGAAGUAGGUAAGUGAAGUUGAUCGUUCACAUCAUUAUUUCCAGCAUUGGUGUUACUGCGCCUUAUCCGUCGGCAUGAUUUUCCAGCCCGUUUUGGCGAAGAAGUUCCAG